GGUUCCCUACGGGAGGCAGCAGUGAGGAAUAUUGGUCAAUGGCCGAGAGGCUGAACCAGCCAAGUCGCGUGAGGGAUGACGGCCCUACGGGUUGUAAACCUCUUUUGUCGGGGAGCAAGACCCGCCUCGUGCAGGCGGAGCGAGAGUACCCGAAGAAAAAGCAUCGGCUAACUCCGUGCCAGCAGCCGCGGUAAUACGGAGGAUGCGAGCGUUAUCCGGAUUUAUUGGGUUUAAAGGGUGCGCAGGCGGACCAUCAAGUCAGCGGUAAAAUGUCGGGGCUCAACCCCGGCCGGCCGUUGAAACUG
rnacentral:rRNA from 1 species